rnacentral:rRNA from 1 species
UACGUAGGGUCCGAGCGUUAAUCGGAAUUACUGGGCGUAAAGCGUGCGCAGGCGGUUUUGUAAGCCAGAUGUGAAAUCCCCGGGCUUAACCUGGGAAUGGCAUUUGGGACUGCAAAGCUGGAGUACGGCAGAGGGAGGUGGAAUUCCACGUGUAGCAGUGAAAUGCGUAGAGAUGUGGAGGAACACCGAUGGCGAAGGCAGCCUCCUGGGCUAGUACUGACGCUCAUGCACGAAAGCGUGGGGAGCAAACAGG